CACCGCGGUUAUACGAGGGGCCUAGACCGAUGUUCAACGGCGUAAAGCGUGAUUAAAGAUAACCCUAAACUAAAGAAGAACGCCCCCUAAGCUGUUAUACGCUAAUGGAAAGGCUGAAGACCCACAACGAAAGUGCCUUUAAAAAGCUUGAACUCACGAAUAUUAAGGAA
rnacentral:rRNA from 1 species